CAAUAGCGUAUAUUAAAGUUGUUGCAGUUAAAAAGCUCGUAGUUGAAUUUCGGGUCCCCGCGCUCGGCGCUUCAUUGUGCCGUCGUGGUGUCCCUCCUCGCCGUAAGGCGUCCUUUACUGUGAAAAAAUUAGAGUGUUCAAAGCAGGCAAUCGCUUGAAUACAUUAGCAUGGAAUAAUAAGAUAGGAUCUUGUCUAUUUUGUUGGUUGCGGACAACGAUAAUGAUUAAUAGGGAUAGUUGGGGGUACUCAUAUUCAACUGUCAGAGGUGAAAUUCUUGGAUUUGUUGAAGAUGAACAACUGCGAAAGCAUUUACCAAGGAUGUUUUCAUUAA
rnacentral:rRNA from 1 species